UACGAGAGGCAGCAGUGGGGAAUAUUGCACAAUGGGCGCAAGCCUGAUGCAGCCAUGCCGCGUGUAUGAAAAAGGCCUUCGGGUUGUAAAGUACUUUCAGUCGUGAGGAAGGUGUUAAGGUUAAUAACCUUAGCAAUUGACGUUAGCGACAGAAGAAGCACCGGCUAACUCCGUGCCAGCAGCCGCGGUAAUACGGAGGGUGCGAGCGUUAAUCGGAAUUACUGGGCGUAAAGGGCACGCAGGCGGUUAAUUAAGUUGGAUGUGAAAUCCCCGGGCUUAACCUGGGAAUGGCAUUCAAGACUGGUUAGCUAGAGUCUUGUAGAGGGGGUAGAAUUCCGAUGUGUAGCGGUGAAAUGCGUAGAGAUGUGGAGGAAUACCGGUGGCGAAGGCGGCCCCUGGGACAAAGACUGACGCUCAUGUGCGAAAGCGUGGGGAGCAAACGAGGAUUAGAUACC
rnacentral:rRNA from 1 species